rnacentral:rRNA from 1 species
CCUACGGGAGGCAGCAGUGAGGAAUAUUGGUCAAUGGACGAGAGUCUGACCCAGCCAAGUAGCGUGAAGGAAGACUGCCCUCUGGGUUGUAACCUUCUUUUAUAAAGACAUAACACGUGACACUUGUGCAUUUUUGCAUCUACUUUAUGAAUAAGCCUCGGCUCACUCCGUGCCAGCAGCCGCGGUAAUACGCCGGAUUCGAUCGUUAUCCGGAUUUAUUGGGGUUAAGUGGAGGGUAGAUGGGUUGUUAAGUCAGUUGUGCAAUUUUUCGGCUCAACCGUAAGAUUGCAAUUGAUACUGGCAGUCUUGAGUACAGGUGAGGUAGGCGGAAUUCGGUGUGUAGCGGUGAAAUGCGUAGAUAUACCGAAGAACCCCGGUUGCGAAGGCAGAUUACUAGACUGUGACUGACGUUGAUGCGCGAAAGUGUGGGUAGCAAACAGGAUUAGAUACCCUAGUAGUC